rnacentral:rRNA from 1 species
UCUUAGUACGGCGAGUGACAGAGAUUAGCCCAGCACUGAAGCCUACGCUGUUUAGCGUAAGGCAUUGUGGUGUUCAGGCAAGUUCCUGGGUGUGGCGGUUAACUCUAAGUCCAUUCUUGAAAUGGCUGCUAAAACGGGUGAUAGCCCCGUAAGAGUUAAUCUUGUGCAUGCCAUGCCUCAGAUGUUCUUGCUUUGGAGUCGGAUUGCUUGAGAAUGCAGUCCAAAGUUGGUGGUAAACUCCAUCAAAGGCUAAAUACCUGCGUGAGUCCGAUAGCUAACAAGUACCGUGAGGGAAAGUUGAAAAGUACUCUAAAUAGAGAGUAAAUAGUACGUGAAACUACAUAGAGGUUAACCGAACGGAGUCAGACUUCUCGGUCUGUGUGAUUUAGCCGUGGAUGUAUGUCAGGUUGGCUUAGAAGUGGUUAUGCUUAAACUCAGUCGUGUACUAUUAUUACAUGGAACGAGGCCACUACAAGUACCAAAUCCGCGGUGAUUUCAUGCAGGCUAGCACAACAUUCGGUGUCUGCUUGGAGAUUCCCUAUAAAACAUUACUGGUCGUCUAAGGCGAGUUGGUAAUGAUGGCAGAAAUUGGUUGUACUUCGGUGCAGACAAUUAAAAUGGCUUCGGCCUGCUAAUAGGUGAUUCUUUAUGGUGGUGCACCGGUUGGUUGACUGGGUGGCCAUGCUGGUGAAUAGUCCGUUAUGGUGUGGAUCGUCACUAAGUGAGGUU